rnacentral:rRNA from 1 species
AUACAGAGGGUGCAAGCGUUAUCCGGAAUUACUGGGCGUAAAGCGCGCGUAGGCGGAUGAUUAAGUCAGUUGUGAAAGCCCUGGGCUCAACCUAGGAACUGCAUCUGAUACUGGUCGUCUAGAGUUUAAGAGAGGGAAGUGGAAUUCCAGGUGUAGCAGUGAAAUGCGUAGAUAUCUGGAGGAACAUCAGUGGCGAAGGCGACUUCCUGGCUUAAAACUGACGCUGAGGUGCGAAAGCGUGGGUAGCGAACGGGAUUAGAAACCCUAGUAGUCC